rnacentral:tRNA from 1 species
GGCUCGGUAGAUUAGUUGAUAAAGCACUUGUCUAGCGAAUCGUGAGUCGUGAGUUCAAAUCUCACCUGAGCUG